ACCUGUAAAAUAGUCUAGUUAAAUAUUAAAAUCACCUGCAUGAUUUAUUUAUUUCAGCAUGAAUAAGUAUAUUAACUGAACUAAAUGCAUUUAUUACGGUGUGCAAUUUGUUAAAAUAUAUUUCAAUUUGAGUUUAUCACAGUUUAUCGUAAGCAAUGAGUACCAAAAAAUUAAUGUUUGGGUUAGAAGACAUAGUAGCGGUAACGUCACACAAAGAAGGUUUAGAAGCUCUUAUAAAGCAGCCAAAUUUGUUAUUUGUCAUAGCAAAAUUACUUAAA